rnacentral:rRNA from 1 species
CUGGGCUUAAAUGUAGAGUGCAUGAGUGGGAAACCAUUCUUUCCUUCGGGACUCUUUACAAGGUGCUGCAUGGUUGUCGUCAGCUCGUGCCGUGAGGUGUCGGGUUAAGUCCCAUAACGAGCGCAACCCCUACCUUUAGUUGCCAUCAGGUAAUGCUGGGGACUCUAAAGGAACUGCCUACGCAAGUAGUGAGGAAGGUGGGGAUGACGUCAAAUCAGCACGGCCCUUACGUCCAGGGCUACACACGUGCUACAAUGGUCGGUACAGAGGGCAGCUACCACGCGAGUGGAUGCAAAUCUCCAAAGCCGAUCUCAGUUCGGAUCGAAGUCUGAAACUCGACUUCGUGAAGUUGGAUUCGCUAGUAAUCGCGCAUCAGCCAUGGCGCGGUGAAUACGUUCCCG